rnacentral:pre_miRNA from 1 species
AGGAGGAACAACCCCAGUGGCGGCGGCCAGCUCUGGAGCCCUGGAGUCAGCUCCUGCAAUAACUACAGAGCUCUCCGUCUGCAGGGCCUGGAUGCUCCGGGGGGCG